AUGUGGCGGAUCAAUACUGUGUUCUCGUCCGAUCACCGAAGUUAAGCAUUGUCGGGCCCGGUCAGUACUUGGGAGGGUGACCACCUGGGAACACCGGGUGUUGUAGGCU
rnacentral:rRNA from 1 species